rnacentral:rRNA from 1 species
CCUACGGGGUGCAGCAGUGAGGAAUAUUGGUCAAUGGACGAGAGUCUGAACCAGCCAAGUAGCGUGAAGGAUGACUGCCCUAUGGGUUGUAAACUUCUUUUAUCUGGGAAUAAAAUGUUCCACGUGUGGGAUUUUGUAUGUACCCUAUGAAUAAGGAUCGGCUAACUCCGUGCCAGCAGCCGCGGUAAUACGGAGGAUCCGAGCGUUAUCCGGAUUUAUUGGGGUUAAAGGGUGCGUAGGUGGGAGGUGAAGUCCGUUGGUAAAGUUGGCGGCCCAAACGUAAAAUUGCAGUUGAAACUGGAAGUCUUGAGGACAGGAGAGGUGGGCGGAAUGCGUGGUGUAGCGGUGAAAUGCUGAGAUAUCACGAAGAACUCCGAUUGCGAAGGCAGUUCACUGGACUGCAACUGACACUGAUGCACGAAAGUGUGGGUAUCAAACAGGAUUAGAUACCCGUGUAGUC